CCUGAACGCUGGCGGCGUGGCUAAGACAUGCAAGUCGCACGGUGUAGCAAUACACAGUGGCGAACGGGUGAGUAAUGAAUCGCUAAUGUGCCCCGGACUCUGGGAUAGCCAGCCGAAAGGCUGGGUAAUACCAGAUGAGACCACGAACAGGCAUCUGUUUGUGCUCAAAGGUCCGCCGGUCUGGGAGCAGGCGAUUUCGUAUCAGCUAGUUGGNGAGGUAACGGCUCACCAAGGCGACGACGCGUAGCCGGACUGAGAGGUUGGCCGGCCACAUUGGGACUGAGACACUGCCCAGACUCCUACGGGGGGCUGCAGUAACGAAUCUUCCGCAAUGUACGAAAGUAUGACGGAGCGACGCCGCGUGUGGGACGAAGCCCUUC
rnacentral:rRNA from 1 species